GCAGCACUCAGUAGAUGGUCACUGGUUGAGCAGCAUCAGAGCGGGCAUGCAGAGAAGGGCCCCUCGUCCUGCGGCCGGUGCAGGACGCCAUCUUUGCUUCAGGUGAUGCUCCCACUCUGACGAGCAGAAGAGCAGCUGAACUACAAAGGGCUUAGAGGGUCCGCCAGGACAUUUUUGCAUGAAGCCAUCAGUUUCCCCUGAUCCCUGGAU
rnacentral:lncRNA from 1 species